AGAAUUAGAUACCAUGGUGGGAUGGCAAAGGUGCCUACGUUCUGUUCUUCGCCAGGUCAAUACCAUGAUGGAGCUCAAUGGCCGUUCAUCUGCCAUUGGUUAUGACGCUUGCACUAAGCUCUAUUCACCAGUGUCUUAACGGACGAUUUAGACCGUUAUCGUGUGGUGCCGGGCGGCACCGGUGGAACACUGUAGCAUGACUGCUACAGUGUCUUAACGGACGAUUUCGACCGUUAUCGUGUGGUGCCGGGCGGUACCGAAUGGUGCAGGGCGGUACCGGUCGAACACUGUAGCAUUCUAGCCAUCCCCGUCGUGGUAGUUCAGAAAGGUCAUAGCGUCAUCAAGAACACGUUCUUCUCAGCUUGCAGUUGGCCUCUCAACCGAAUGGUGUCGCACCAUGCAGCAUGCGGCGACACGAGAGGUGAUGGAAAUACUCGUGACCCUGCAAAUAAACCGAUUAUAAAUAUCCUCUCCCACUUCUUCACUCCCCUUCAUCACUCUCGCUCCGUUCCUUGUGCAGAACACUAGCCCAUGGCCACCUCCCUUUACAUUGUCCUCUCUUUCUCUGUUUGGGUGCUCCUUCUCUUGCACAACUCACCAGCCCCACUUGGCUUGGGCCAGCAGCGAGCAGGUGAACCAUGGAUGAGUGCUCAUCACUACAGCCCCGUGAGCCACUGCAGAAUCGAUAAGCUAAGCGCCCUUGAGCUCACCCGACGUGUGCCCUCGGAAGCUGGGUACACGGAGUACUGUAACCAGUUUACUGAACAGCUCCAGUGUGUGGGUGUGGCUGCAUGUCGUCGUACCAUCCAACCGAGAGGCCUUCUCUUGCCAUCCAUUUCCAGCCCACCACGUCUCGUCUAUAUUGUGCAAGGAAGGGGAAUCAUUGGAACAGUGUUCCUUGGUUGCCUAGAGACGUUCCCAUCCUUCCAGCAACCCAAACAAAUAUGGGAGCAGGAGACAGGCAAAGAAUGUCAGAGGUUCCGAUACGAGCACCAGAUGAUCCACUGCCAUGAGGGAGACAUCAUCGCAUUGCCCGCUAGAGUUACUUAUUGGAGCUACAACAAUGCCGAGGACUCGGCAACUGUUGUUGCGAUUACCGUCACCGUCUUCGACACGAGCAGCAACGAUAUAUAUAUAUAUAUAUAUAUAUAUAUAUAUAUAUAUAUAUAUAUAUAUAAAGGCUCGGAACUAAGAUAAGGUUACUCAUGUUGUGUGCUUCGAAUGAAAAGAGCGUGAAAAUAUUUGUGUUUGAAGUUGGGAAUUAAUCGUGUUUGAAGUUGGGAAUUAAUCGGUGCAUACAGCAUGAAUGGUUUGUGUACAAAAGGUUACCGACCUCCGUUGGAAGGAAGGCAACGGCGUCCACACUACCUUCUUGGGCUUGAAACGGGUCAUCCAUGUUUGGUUCUACCAAGAGCAUUUCAUGGCAAUGAUGCGACUGAGAUCGAUUCCAGUAGACGUCAGCUACGAAUGUUAAUUUUCACGUAUGAGCCGGUUCGGAUGUCGAGCCGACCGGAUUUGAGAUCGGACUCACGUCUCCACUCGGUAAAAUCUGACGCCACUAGAAGCCACGAAUGAUUAACAUAAAAUAAACAGUCGCCCAGUAUUUCCAUGACCCCGAAGUUGAACCCUAGCGAAGCGAAGCAAAGCAAAGCAAGCCCGACUGCUGCCGGCGAGUUACUGAGAGCCGGUCGUCGCUCGCUGCCUCUCUCCCAAUUCUCAAGCCUUGGCUGUCGUCGCCGGCC